rfam:Celeribacter halophilus strain CGMCC 1.8891 genome assembly, contig: Ga0070548_107
UGGUCGGGAGCUCCCUUUGGGACGGGAGCGGGAAUAGACCGAAUUUCUCUGUUUCGUCAGGGCACAUCUGCCGGCGCCCAACGGUAGACGUC